rnacentral:tRNA from 1 species
GCCAUGGCUCAGUGGUAGAAGAUUUGUUUGGCAUUCAAAAGAUCCCAGUUUCAAUCACUGGCAUCUCCC